GAUGAACGCUGGCGGCGUGCCUAAUACAUGCAAGUCGAGCGAACAGACGAGGAGCUUGCUCCUCUGACGUUAGCGGCGGACGGGUGAGUAACACGUGGAUAACCUACCUAUAAGACUGGGAUAACUUCGGGAAACCGGCGCUAAUACCGGAUAAUAUAUUGAACCGCAUGGUUCAAUAGUGAAAGACGGUUUUGCUGUCACUUAUAGCUGGAUCCGCGCCGCAUUAGCUAGUUGGUAAGGUAACGGCUUACCAAGGCAACGAUGCGUAGUCGACCUGAGAGGGUGAUCGGCCACACUGGAACUGAGACACGGUCCAGACUCCUACGGGAGGCAGCAGUAGGGAAUCUUCCGCAAUGGGCGAAAGCCUGACGGAGCAACGCCGCGUGAGUGAUGAAGGUCUUCGGAUCGUAAAACUCUGUUAUUAGGGAAGAACAAAUGUGUAAGUAACUAUGCACGUCUUGACGGUACCUAAUCAGAAAGCCACGGCUAACUACGUGCCAGCCGCCGCCGUAA
rnacentral:rRNA from 1 species